rnacentral:lncRNA from 1 species
AUGAAGCAAAAACAUGUGAAUUUAUUACAACUUGAAAUGAUGAGUAUGAAUGUUCGUAAAAAUAUGAAUUUUGUAAAAAUUCAAGAAAAAUAAAAUUGAUAUCUGAAAAAUUGAUUAUGGAUAUUUGUGCUGAUCACCCAAAUGCUUUCUGGAAUCGCAAAGAACUUGUUGUUACUCUUCCAUAUGAAGAUGAUUUCAGAGAAUAUAGUAUUCCCACAAAAUUCAAACCCUGCCAAAUGAACACAGAGUUAGUAGAAUUUUGUAAAAAAGAGAUUGACAAUCUCUUACAAAAGGGUCUCAUAAAACCCUUAAAAUCCCCUUGGUCUUGCACUGUAUUUUAUGUUAAUAAUGCUACAGAGAAAGAAUGAGGUAUGCCUAGACUUGUUAUUAAUUAUAAACCUCUUAAUAAAGUUUUAAAAUGGAUUAGGUAUCCAAUUCCCAAUAAAAAGGAUUUAUUAUCUAGAUUAUAUAAUGCCAAUAUUUUUCAAAAUUCAAUUUAAAAUCUGGAUACUGGAAAAUUCAAAUUUUUAAAGAACACACUUAUAGAACUGCUUUUAAGGUGCCUUUUGAUCAAUACUCUAUAGGGUAUUCUAUACCAAUUUUUGGAAAAAACUAACCAGAAAAGACUCCCUCACUAAAAUCCCGCAUGGAUGGGACUUUCUCGAAUCUAUUAAUUGAAAAAUAGUCGAAUACUCUGCUGCUCCACAAAAGAAAGUCGUGGAUGAUAAAAGUCUAAGUUAUAUUUCUAGAAGAAUCUCUAUCCAUGAAGGAGACAAAUUAGAAUUGAUUGAAAAAUAUUUCGAAGAAGUCCGAAAAAAUUUGAUAAAAAUUGUGGAACAAUGUUUGAAUACUUCUAUGAAAAGUCUUACAAGUGAAGAAACUGAAGAUAUCCAAGAAUCUCAGCCACUUCCGCCAUAAAAUAUUCUCAAUGAUGAAGAAAUUGAAAAAACUGAGGAAUUACUCUACCAGAUAAAAAGAAAAGACAAGAUGUGAUAAGAAGGACCCAUAUACUAAGUCAUUUUUACUAUGUAUGGGACCAAGAUGUAGGGCCCUUUGUAAUAAUAAAAACAUUAUGCGCUACUGUGCGCAGAUUCCUUUUUUCCUAUAUAUAGAUACCUUAUUUGUUAGAGAGGCAGUAGUAGUAAAAAAAUUCCUCUUUCAUUUUCUCUCUCUAAGUCUCCCUUCACUCUUCCCCUCUUGUAUAAUAUUUCAAGGCUUUAAUAAAAGAAGGCAGCUAGCCGACAUUUACUAUUUCGGCCCUGCACUCGGCCACUUGUAAGGUAUUUAUUUCUUUUGUUUCUAAAGUACUUUUAAUACUUCUUCUUCCUUUCCAACCGUGACUAUGUCUGGCUAAAAAAACUUCUCAUGCCUAUGUUGGAAAUCUAACCUCUCUUACUAGAUAAUUAUGAAAAAUACAGACUUUAUCAAAAUAUGAAUGAAUUUUUCUAUGGUUUCUUAACGUGGUUCCAAAAUGGUGGUACAAUCAAAAUUUAAUAUGGUUUAUGUUGGCUCUGUCUCUGUGACUACGUCUAGUAAGCUGUGCCUCUUUAUCCUAAUAACAUUGAAGAAAAGGGCGACCUUUUUCAUAGUAAGAACUUCUAGACACAUGGGUUCAACAUAAGUAUAUUAAACAACUGACAAACCCCUUGUUUGGGUAACAGAUUAUAUCUUCCAUGCAGUCAUCAAGUUAUUUAAAAUUCUUUUAUAUCUCGGUUGGUGUUUUGGUUCGGUGUUCCGACUAAGACUUAAUCCGAUGCUUAUAAGUUAGUCUUCUAGGCAGAACGGCUUACCCCUGCAUCUUCAGAUCCUGCUUAUGGUGGGUGGGAGGAUUAUCAUGUCUUAGUGGUGUGAAGAUAUUUUUAAUUAUCAAAAGAUAUAUUGUUGGUUCCAUUUUAUUAUAACCUCCUUUUAUUUUCUCACCCCUCCGUCCCCACAUCUUUCAAUUCACCUCUCCACCAACAUAGGAUAUUUUUAUUUUUUAAACUUAAAUUUACUCAUGCCAUUUCAUUUCACAAACUACAAUAACACAAUUACAAGAUCAAGGGACAACAAAAAGUAGUAAUGGACAUUUGGUCAUGAAAUAAAAAAAAUAUUUUAAAUUUUGAAACUUAAAUUGGAGUUGUGUUGAUCAUACUUUUUUGUAAUAAAGGACCGUUUGGCCAUAGAUAAUAUUUACUAUAUUCCAAAAUAGGUUUUCACUUUAUUCUGAAAUACUUUUAUUGAAACCCUUGGGGGUUGCACCACACAGUGAGGGACCAGGUCCUUCAAAGUCAAACACAAAUGAUAGAAUAGUAAAGCAAUUAUGAGGUGCUAGAAAAAAGGCAGUGCAGGAAAGUAAAAAUACAGGAUUUUUACGUGGAAACCUAGGAAGGGAAAGAACAUGGCUUGCCCUCACAAGCACCAAAAUAGUCCAUUAUAACCAAUUUCUUAAUUACAAACUCGAUUGUGAACCUAACUCUAGGUUCCUCCUGCUUGCAAUACCUCUAUUACAAACACUCGUUGACACCUCUGCCAAGUUUUCCUCAACAACUGGCUAACUCUAACCAACUACAAGCUUAGGCAACUCUAACUAAGCACUCCUCUCAUCACAGGAAAACACUACUCUUGUAGCAUGAGUAGUUCGAUUACAAAUCAGUACUCAAGAACACUCACUCUCUCUUUAAGCAUAUUACAAAGAUAAGAAUAUGAGCAAUGCUUGAGCAAUCUUAAAAUAGAGUUUCUGCUGCCUCACUCCACUCUUUAGAUUUGUGCAAAAAACUCAAUUUGAUGAAGAGACGUCUCUUUCCUUUUAUAGCUGAGUGAUGAUUAGGGCUGAAAGAUUAUUGGACCAGCUGUCCUAAUCAGUACAAAGUAGCACUUGCAAGUUUGUUACAUAAGAUGACAAAAGUGUGCAGGCAACGCGUGUCAGCUGUACUGUACCUUGCACAUCCAAGGACCUGGUCCCUUACAGUUAGCUGCUCAUCAUCAAAACUACAUAUAGCAAUUUUCCCCCUUUUGAUGAUGACAAACCAACCACACAGUUUUGAUUAUCAAUGCACAUUUAUCAUAUUUAAUUAGUGUUAUUACCACCUGAAGAUGAAUGUUCCCCCUAUCAUCAUGCAACACAGGGACCUGGUCCCUUGUUGUUAUUUGUAGCAAAAACUUCUUGUUUGCUUCCCCCUAUCAUUGUACCUUAUCAUUCAAUUAGCACAUCACUUACUUUCCCCUAUCAGCAUGAACCACACAUGAGCACACCCUAUUAGCAUGCACCACAUAUGAGCACACUUACACAUUACAUGGUAUCUGGUCUCUGCACACCACACUCAUCAUAGUUGGUCCUUAUACAUGAAGUCAUAUUCCCCCUUUUAGCAUCAUUGAAAAAGAUUAACAGUAAACCAUAAGUAAAGAUAGGUGCAGGCUAAUUAACUUAUAACCACUGGGGCAACACUAACAUAAAGUACAACUUUAAAGUAAAGGAAACAAAUGAGGCACUCAAGAAGAAAUUCAUUCAUUAUCCAUUAAGAUCAGUACCAGUACAAUGUACCAAAAAUUUAUAAAACAACUAUUUGUAAAAAUCUUUGUUGACACCUAAUUUUUUCCCUCCACGACUAAAUUUAAUCAUGGGUUUCUUCAAUUUUAAAUAAAAUUAUAAUAUUUAUUUUAUUCAAAUAAAAAGGGCUUUUCAAAAUAUUUAUCUGGGCAACUUUUACCAUUUUAAGUAAAGUAUAUAUUUUAUCAUAUUUUAAUUAUACGAAAUUAUAUAAUGUUGUUACUUAAAUAUUUAUUCUACAGAAUAUUGGAUUUUAAUUUAGGAUUAUCCUAAAAAUAAAUAUGAUGAUUAAAAUCUUGAUUUAAAUGUAAUUUGUUCUUAAAAAUAAUUUAUUUGGAGAAAUACUUGUUUGAUUUUACUAAAUCAAGAAGCCUGGGAUUAAAGGGAGAAUUAAUUCGAAUAGAAUUUCAAUUCAAUUUAACCAUUCUAUUAGAUUUGAUCAUAAUUGAAACUAAAUUGACAACAAUUGCAAUGCAAUUGACCAAUCAACUUUUAAUUUGGUCAAAAUUUAAAUAAAAUAUGCUAAAUCUUAAUUGAAAUUAUUUUUGAAUAACCUUUAGUCUAAUUUAGAUUAUUUUUUCUAAAUAAUUCUUAAAUUACCAAUUUCCUAAUUUAAUUAGGGUUAUUUUAACCCAAUCAAAUCUAAUUGGGGUUAUUUUAACCCAAUUAGAUUUAAUUGGGGUUAUUUUAACCCCAAGUAAAUCUAACUAGGCUUAUUUAAUAUCCUCAAUUAUUAACCCAAUUCUGCAAGCCCACUCCCCAUCCAAUUAGCGCAACAACACUUCCAACACCAAUGGCCUAAUCUCCCAAACCGACCCAGCCCAAUCAUCUUUUCCCCUUCACCAUCAGCCAACAUACGACUUCCAACACAAUAAAUAACAACAUCAUCACUGACAACUCCAAAUAGAAGUAAACAACGGCUUAAACCUAACUUUGAUGACUACAUCAAAUCGACCCGAACCCGACCUCCAAUCUAAUAGUUUCAACCAAUUGGUUCCAAACCGCGUCGACCCGCCAACAACCCAACCUUAACCUGCUUAGGUGGCAUGUGAUUUCAUACGAAAAAGUUAAGAAUCUUCUAGAAAUUGAUGAGUUAGCUCAGCCAACGUUCAAAUUUGUUGUUUGUUGGAAUAGAGUCAUAUGAAUUCGUACACAUUUGUGCGAAUUCUUUUGGCUUUGGAGAUAUAUUAUUUUCCCUAAAUUCUCAUUGGCAGAACUCAUUCAAAUUCUUCAAAAGAUCCAAAAUCAGUAAAAUUUGAAGGAGAAAUUUGAUUACCAGAAAAAGGGUUGAAAAUAUUCUUGUUUGAAAAUUCUGAAAUUACCCCAUUCGAAUUAAUCGCUCAUCGAUUGAGACCUAAGGAGAGAACCCCCAAUUUUUUCUAUAAAAUCUCAUAGUGAGCUGAAAAUAUACGAGUCAGGGGAAGGGAAAAAGAACCCCCGAGCAGAAAAAAUAUCUUGAAAUCAUUGAUAAAUUUUGAGUAAGGAAGCUUUUGAUUGAAAAUUUUCUUUUUCUUUAAAAGUUUUAACUUACCGGUGGUGAUGAGGAAACUCCGUCAAAGGCUCGAGUCACGUUUUGAUGCCCCUAAGGAGGUAAAAUUCUCGACACUUUAUUUUCG